rnacentral:rRNA from 1 species
GGUUAAGUGACUAAGCGUACACGGUGGAUGCCUAGGCAGUCAGAGGCGAUGAAGGGCGUGCUAAUCUGCGAAAAGCGUCGGUAAGGUGAUAUGAACCGUUAUAACCGGCGAUACCCGAAUGGGGAAACCCAGUGUGUUUCGACACACUAUCAUGUCAUGAAUACAUAGUGGCAUGAGGCGAACCGGGGGAACUGAAACAUCUAAGUACCCCGAGGAAAAGAAAUCAACCGAGAUUCCCCCAGUAGCGGCGAGCGAACGGGGAGGAGCCCAGAACCUGAAUCGGCUUGUGUGUUAGUGGAAGCG